GUCGCACGAGAAAGUGGAGCAAUCCAUGAGUAAAGUGGCGCACGGGUGAGUAACACGUGAAUUAUCUACCUCCGAGUGGGGAAUAACUGAGAGAAAUCUUAGCUAAUACCGCAUAACACUUACGAGUCAAAGCAGCAAUGCGCUUGGAGAGGAGUUCGCGGCCGAUUAGUUAGUUGGCGGGGUAAUGGCCCACCAAGACGAUGAUCGGUAUCCGGCCUGAGAGGGCGCACGGACACACUGGAACUGAAACACGGUCCAGACUCCUACGGGAGGCAGCAGUGGGGAAUUUUGCGCAAUGGGGGAAACCCUGACGCAGCAACGCCGCGUGGAGGAUGAAAUAUCUUGGUAUGUAAACUCCUUUCGAUGGGGAAGAUUAUGACGGUACCCAUAGAAGAAGCCCCGGCUAACUUCGUGCCAGCAGCCGCGGUAAUACGAGGGGGGCAAGCGUUGUUCGGAUUUAUUGGGCGUAAAGGGUGCGUAGGCGGUUAGGCAAGUCUUAUGUGAAAUCUUCGGGCUCAACCCGAAGCCUGCAUAAGAAACUGCCGGGCUUGAGUAUGGGAGAGGUGAGUGGAAUUUCCGGUGUAGCGGUGAAAUGCGUAGAUAUCGGAAGGAACACCUGUGGCGAAAGCGGCUCACUGGACCAUAACUGACGCUGAUGCACGAAAGCUAGGGGAGCAAACAGGAUUAGAUACCCUGGUAGUCCUAGCCCUAAACGAUGAUUGCUUGGUGUG
rnacentral:rRNA from 1 species